GAUGAACGCUGGCGGCGUGCCUAAUACAUGCAAGUCGAGCGAACAGACGAUGAGCUUGCUCCUCUGACGUUAGCGGCGGACGGGUGAGUAACACGUGGAUAACCUACCUCUAAUACUGGGAUAACUUCGGGAAACCGGAGCUAAUACCGGAUAAUAUAUUGAACCGCAUGGUUCAAUAGUGAAAGACGGCUUUGCUGUCACUUAUAGAUGGAUCCGCGCCGCAUUAGCUAGUUGGUAAGGUAACGGCUUACCAAGGCAACGAUGCGUAGCCGACCUGAGAGGGUGAUCGGCCACACUGGAACUGAGACACGGUCCAGACUCCUACGGGAGGCAGCAGUAGGGAAUAUUCGGCAAUGGGCGCAAGCCUGACGGAGCAACGCCGCGUGAGUGAUGAAGGUCUUCGGAUCGUAAAACUCUGUUAUUAGGGAAGAACAACUGUGUAAGUAAAUAUGCACGUCUUGACGGUACCUAAUGAGAAAGCCCCGGCUAACUACGUG
rnacentral:rRNA from 1 species